rnacentral:tRNA from 3 species
GGAGAGGUGGCUGAGCUGGCCGAAGGCGCACGACUGGAAAUCGUGUAGGCGUUAAAAGCGUCUCGCGGGUUCGAAUCCCGCCCUCUCCGCCA